AGCUCCAAUAGCGUAUAUUAAAGUUGUUGCGGUUAAAAAGCUCGUAGUUGGAUUUCUGUUGAAGACGGUCGGUCCGCUCUAUGAGCGUGCAUCUGAUUCGGCUUUGGCAUCCUCGUGGGGAACGUGUCUGUGCUUGAUUGCAUGGCGCGGUAUUCACGACUUUUACUUUGAGGAAAUUAGAGUGUUCACGGCAGGCAAGCGUCUUGAAUAUAUUAGCAUGGAAUAAUAAUAUAGGGCUUUGGUUCUAUUUUGUUGGUUUCUAGAACUAAAGUAAUGAUUAAUAGGGAUAAUUGGGGGCAUUUGUACUAACGCGUCAGAGGUGGAAUUCUUGGAUUGCGUUAUGACAAACUACUGCGAAAGCAUUUGCCAAGGAUGUUUUCA
rnacentral:rRNA from 1 species